GGUGAGAUGGCUCAGUGGUUAAGAGCACUGGCUGUUCCUCCAGAGGACCUGGGUUCAAUUCCUAGCACCC
rnacentral:tRNA from 1 species